UGGUGGCUGCUCCGGAGAACGCUGGCACCCAAGUCCCUCCACACAACAAGAAGCCAGAGACAACCGGGGGCAGGAGAGCCACAGUCAAGGCCCUCCAAGGAUUAGAUGAAGCCCACCCACAUUGGUGAGAGAAGAUCUUCUCUUCCCAAUCUACUGAUUUAAAAGCUGACCUCUUUUCGAAACACCCUCACAGACACACUCUGAAAUAACAUUUUACCAGUCAUCUGGGCAUCCCUUAGCCCAGUCAAGUUGACACCCAAAACGAGCCAUCACAGUGAGGCAUUUUCUUUUCUUCUAUAGGGAUCUUUUGUCUUUUGCCCAGCAUUUGGCUUCCUUGUUUUUUCCUCACAAUAUGAUGGCAUAGUUUAUUAUAUGGCCACACUAUUUUAACACAUAAGCUCAGGAACUGAAGGGUAGGGAGGUGGCCAUAUUCAAACACCAAAUGAAACCUGUAAAGCUGAGGAAACCAGUCUGCAAGAAGCUGGGAAGCUGUGAGGGCCUUAAGGACUGAAGUCUGAGUCUCCACCCUGUUAGAAUUCACACACAGUGAUGUUGUUUAUUAGAACUGAAACUAAGUUAAGUGUAUGGUGGGAACAUUGAUUCCUCAUUGUUCACCUUUUCACGUGAAAGAACAACUAGUUAGUAUCUCUCUACUGGCCUGCUUUCAGGAGACCAGGAACGAUUUACCUGAUUGGAAGGGCAUUGUAGCUCCAUCCUCCAGCUCUCCUUCCCCUUGGAGGCAGGGUGCCCACAGCAUGCCUGUGCACUGGCCUGCUCCCUGCCACCUAAGGGAAGACCUAUGCUUGCCCAGCUGCCUAUGACCAGGAAGUGUCUAAUGCUGGGGUAAAGGAACAGCAAGACCAAAACUACCUUCUCUGAUGGCUCUAACGGUAAUAAAGGUGACUUUUGAUCUCCAGUUCUGAGAUCCUGCAGCUAUCUCUCAAUUUAUCCUGUAUUUUGGAAGAGGGAUGAAAAAAGUCAACCCAAAUCCCAAAUAAAUUCCAAAGUCCUGGGUGUAUAGGUACAAUCUGCACGAGGAAUGAGUCUGGCAUCAAAUGAGACUAGGAAACCAGAACACAAGGAAGAGGAGCACACUUCGGAAUUAGCCCAGGUUUGAAUCCUGGCUGUAUGAACUUAGCCAGGGAUUAACCACCCUGGGUACAGCUUUCCCUCUUGAAAAACGGCAUCAGGACUCUUGGCUGCAAAUGACUCCCUGCAAAAAACUCUCUUUAGCUAAACAGAAAAAAAAUUAAAAUAUUCACAGAGAUGA